UGCGUAGGCGGCUUGGAAGGUGAGAUGUGAAAUCCCACGGCUCAACCGUGGAAUUGCGUUUCAAACCCUCAAGCUCGAGGAAGAUAGGGGUGAUGGGAACUUAUGGUGGAGCGGUGAAAUGCGUUGAUAUCAUAGGGAACACCGGUGGCGAAAGCGCAUCACUGGAUCUUUUCUGACGCUGAGGCACGAAAGCUAGGGUAGCGAACAGGAUUAGAUACCCUGGUAGUCC
rnacentral:rRNA from 1 species